UGGUAAUGCUUGUGCAGUGUGAGGUAGUAGAUUGUAUAGUUGUAGGGUAGUGAUUUUAUCCUGUGUAGAAGAUAACUAUACAAUCUAUUGCCUUCCCUGAGGGGCAGAAAUACACAGAAAAGGAAUAUGCAAGUUUGCUGGAUAAUAUGAAGCGCUCAUGUUUUCUUUAACACAAUCACUAUUAUGAUUAAAACUCUUAUGAAUUGCUUCUUAAUAGCUACUAAAAUAAGCUUGUUAUAGUGAGUGUGUUUAUGUAUUAGAGGGGUUUAAUGGAUGCAGAAUAUAAUAUGUCAUUUAUAAGUAGUAUUAAACUGCCAAUAUGCCAGCUGCUCAAGUGGAAAGUGGUCCCUUUACUAAAAUGUCACCUGUUUUCUGUAUUUUAAUGUAACUUAAUAUGCAUGUGUCUGAAGUUCAUGUUUUUAUUUCACAUAUAUAAGUCAGUGACUAUUUGAAUCUAUUUAUAACAAAGCCAUACAAAUAUGUUGCAUAAUGUUUUCUUUAGUGCAUCGAUUUAGAUUUUUUCAGGGGCUUAUUUAAUGUAAAUUGAAAUGUUUUUGGUCAGUGGUGCUGAUGAAAAUUAUAAUGACUGAAGUUAUAAUGAAAAAAUAAAACCUCAAUCUUUAU
rnacentral:lncRNA from 1 species